ACGCCGUAAACGAUGAAUACUAGUUGUGGGAGGUAUCGACUCCUUCCGUGACGACGUUAACACAUUAAGUAUUCCGCCUGGGGAGUACGGCCGCAAGGUUGAAACUCAAAGAAAUUGACGGGGACCCGCACAAGCAGCGGAGCAUGUGGUUUAAUUCGACGCAACGCGAAAAACCUUACCAGGGUUUGACAUCGUCUGACCGUCUUAGAGAUAAGAUUUUCCCUUCGGGGACAGAUAGACAGGUGGUGCAUGGUUGUCGUCAGCUCGUGUCGUGAGAUGUUAGGUUAAGUCCUGCAACGAGCGCAACCCCUAUAUACAGUUGCCAAUAUUUAGUUAGGAACUCUGUAUAGACUGCCGUGGUUAACACGGAGGAGGGUGGGGAUGACGUCAAAUCAUCACGCCCCUUACAUCCUGGGCUACACACGUGCUACAAUGGCUAUUACAAAGAGCUGCAAAACCGUAAGGUCAAGCGAAUCUCAUAAAGAUAGUCUCAGUUCAGAUUGUGGGCUGCAACCCGCCCACAUGAAGUCGGAGUUGCUAGUAAUCCCGAAUCAGCAUGUCGGGGUGAAUGCGUUCCCGGGUCUUGUACACACCGCCCGUCACGCCAUGGGAGCCAGGAGUACCCAAAGUCAGUGGCCUAACCGCAAGGAGGGAGCUGCCUAAGGUAAUACUGGUGACUGGGGUG
rnacentral:rRNA from 1 species